rnacentral:piRNA from 1 species
UAUUUGCCAUCUGUGAUUCUCUCUGA